ensembl:lncRNA
GUCAGGUUUUGGUCUGGCCGACUCUAGGCUCUUCAAGCACUGAUGACAGUUAUCCAACCUGCCUCUCACACCUGAGCCAUUUCUCUGGUCCUCCAGGGGAACAGAACCUGGCCCUCUGCUUGCAUCUUAAAGCAGCUUUGGCCAAACACUUACUGGGCAGAAAAUAAACCUCAGCAGAGUCCCCUUGAGGCUGGGAGGAUUUUACAGAUUCAUGACUUAGCUCUGUGAUCUCCACUGCCUUGAAAAAUUGAGAGUUGAUUUCAAUCAACUGUCCCCACAGUAUCCCUCCUCCCUUUGCCCUAUAUAAUUGUGUUUACGUGCUCACUCAUAGUCGGACAUGACUGAGCCACUUCACUUUCACUUUCACUAAGGCCCUCAAGGUUCAUCCGAGUUGCAGCCAGUGUUGGGAUGUCCUUUUCAAAGGCUGAAUCUUAUUCUAGGAAAUGGGCGGGCCACAUUUUGCUCAUCCAUUUAUCCAUCAAUGAACACUCGGGUGGCUUCCAGCUCUGGCUAAUUGUAAAUAAUGCUUUAGAGUACUAAUAUCUCUUCAAGUCUCUGUUUUGAUCACUUUUUAGCACAAAUUUUACUUUUCAGCAAAUUUCAAUAUGAUACAAUGUUAUCAACUAUAGUCACCAUUUUACACAUUGGAUCCCCAGACUUUAUUCAUCUUAUAGCUGAAAAUUUGUACCUUUACCAAACUUUCCCAAUUCUCUGCCUCCGGCCCCCAGCCACCCCUGUCCCUGGCAACCACUUUUCUACUUUCUGUUUCUAUGAAAGCUUUUUUUUUUCAAUUCCACAUGUAAAUGAUCCCAUGCAGUAUUUGUCUUUCUUUGCCUGGCUCAUUUCACUUAGCUCUCCAGGUUUGACCAUGUUGUUGUUGCAAAUACAAGAUUUCCUUCUUGUUCAGGACAGAAGAAUAAUACUGUGUGUGUGUGUGUGUGUGUGUGUGUGAGAGAGAGAGAGAGAGAGAGACAGAGAGAGAAAGUACCAUAUUUUCUUUAUCCACUCACCUCUACAAACCCAGAAGUGGGAUCUCUGGAUAACUUGGUAGUUCUUCUACGUUUGCCCAUUUUUAAAUGUAUAAUUCAGUGGUAUUAGGUACAGUCACCUUGUUGCGCAUAGAUACUGAAGAUUUGGGGAUCAAGCACACAAGUACCGGUUUUACCCAGCAGGGAGGCCGCCCCAUCUCCAGGCUUAGAAAGAGAACCCUGGGGUGUUUCUUAGGCGGGCUUCUCACUGGCCUCCCUUCCAGCCUCUAGUCACCCACUGUGGUUCCAGUGCAGCCCUUCUGGACUCUGGCCCUCUGCUCUCCCUCCGUCUUCACUGAGCCCCUGCUGGGAGCCCAGCGGGGUCCCUCCUGGCCAUGCACUCUCCCCCCACUCCCAUCCGCCCCGCAGACCCCAUUUGUCAUCAGGCCAAAGCUGAGCAGCCUGGCCUGAGCACAGUCAGCCUCUCGCUGCCCCUCUGGAAAUCCAGAAGGCCCCUCCCUGGACCCCCAGCAGCCCACCUCGCCCACCCCUCCCCGCCCUCUGCUCUCCGUGUGAUGCUGAAGUUUCCGGGCCAGGCGGGGAGCAGGCGGGGGUGGGGAAAGUGCCCGGGGUUUAUCAGGGUUCAUCUGACUGUCUCACAGCAGGCGCCGCGCUGCCAGCAUCCGCGCGACUUGGGUUUCAACCGUUUGCUCCACUGGACACCUCGCCGCCCCCUCGCCUCCGCGCAUAAUAAGCCUCAUUCUUUCCACAGCAGCGGCCCCCGGGACCUCCCGCGCGGGGACCCCGGCUCUGCGGGACCUGCUCACGGCUCUUCUCGCCUUUCUGCAGUCCGUUCAUCGGAAACCUGAGCCGUCGGGCCGAGGGGAGCCCAGCCUGGCUCCUGCCGGGGGGUGAGAACGCCGCCGGGCCUCCCAGACUCUGUGGCCAAGGGCGGGUCGGCGGGUCUCAGCUUCCACCGUGACCCCAGAAGCAAGAAAGAACAGGCUCCCCUCUCUUGACCUUGCAGAGAGGGCUUGGGAACCUUUAGUCUAAAUGUGAAAGUCCCACGGAGAAAAGGGGUUGCAGAGCUGGUGGGAAAACACAACAAUUCUAAGUAUUUUUCUUUGUUUUUGUUUUUUUUUCCCUUUGAUAUGUUUAUUUAUUCAAUUUAUUUUUAGUCAGUUAUGACAUUGUAAUGGACCCUUGGACAGCAAGGGGAUCAAACCAGUCCGUCCUAAAGGAAAUCAACCCUGAAUAUUCACUGGAAGGACUGAUGCUGAAGCUGAAGCUCCAAUAGUUGGGCCACCUGAUGCGAAGAUCCAGCUCAUUGGAAAAGGCCCUGAUGCUGGGAAAGAUUGAAGGCAAGAGGAGAAGGGGGCAACAGAGGAUGAGAUGGUUGGAUGGCAUCAGUGACUCAGUGGACAUGAGUCUGAGCAAACUCUGGGAGGUAGUGAAGGACAGGGAAGCUUGGCGUGCUGCAGUUCAUGGGGUGGCAAGGAGUCGGGGAUGACUUAGCGGCUGAACAACUUAACAUUGUAGGGGAAAGAGAGUACAACAAAAGGGUCUGCUAGUACAAUCUGACAUUCAAAAUCCUUGAUAUCCAUUACUUAUCAGUCGCUUCAGUGCCCCCAGCAGCAGGGCUUUGUCAUCCUGGCGCAUCUUGGCUCAGUAUCAGCUCCGACUAAUAAACAGUAACUGCUGUUAACCAGAACAGUGAAAGAGUUUUCAUAAUAUAAAAACUGGAUUUUGUGAUUCAAAACUUGUAUUAUUUCCUUUGAGCAUCAGUAGUUAUAUUUGGUACUUUUUUUUUCUCUAGAAUUAGGCACUGCUCCCUCAAAGGGACCGGCAGUUGGGAGCAGACCAGGGUAGGGUAGGGAGGGUCAUUUAAGGACCUGUCCUGGAUGAAUCAGGGUGAAAUCAGAGCACCAGGCACUCAGGCUUGACUGGAGUUUAACACUUGAACAUGACUGCAAGUGGUCUUCUGCUUUGAAGAGCUUUAGUAAAACGUUAACCUAGAAGUGCGCUUUUUUUUUUUUUUGGAGAGGGGGAGGGAAACAGAUUUCAUAUUUUAGCUUUCCUAUUUGAUCACGUGCUCAGAAGUGCCCUUGACUCCAAAGAUGUUAAACAUGAAGAUGCUGGUUUUUAAUUGCAUGUAUGUUAGAUAGCUUUCUAUGUGAAUAUACAUGACAUAAUACAUUGCUCAUUUUAUUAAAACAGCUAUAAACUGAGGUAUUAAUUAAUAUGCCCUUGGUGGCUGUUUUCUUUUUUUAGGUCUUUGCCCCCCCCACCCCGAUGUGGACCAUUUUAAAAGUCUUUAUUGAAUUUCUUACAAUAUUGCUUGUUUCAUGUUUUGGUGUUUUGGCCUCGAGGCAUGUGGGAUCUUAGCUUCCUGAUCAGGGAUUGAACCCUUACCCCCUGCACUGAAAGGCAAAAUCUCAAGCCACUGGAAGUCCUCUGAUGGUCGUCGUCGUCUGCUGCUGCUGCUGCUGCUGCUGCUGCUGUUGCUGCUGCCACUAAGUCGCUUCAGUCGUGUCUGACUCUGUGUGACCCCAGAGACGGCAGCCCAGCAGGCUCUCCCAUCCCUGGGAUUCUCCAGGCAAGAACACUGGAGUGGCUUGCCAUUUCCUUCUCCAGUGCAUGAAAGUGAAAAGUGAAAGUGAAGUCGCUUAGUCGUGUCCGACUCUUCGUCUAGUAGUAUCUAAAGAAAAGAUAGCCAUUUCUUAGUAUCUUUGUGUUUAUUGUUAUUAGAAAGCGGUAACAUCCUGUACAUGCAACUUUGAAUUUCUGUGAAUACAUGAAAUAAAUUCAUAAAAGUAAAAUGAAAGAAAAAUCCAGCUGUUGUGACCUGUCAAGAUGUCUUUGGUUCUCUAAUGAGUGGCAAGUCGCAGCCAUGCUUCUCCAGCCUUUCCCCACUGACUCGUCCUCUGGACUGUAGGACGGAGGUGCCUGGAGCAGAAACAGCUGUGGGUGGCGAUGGGCACGGGCAAGCAGAUCAGGCAGUGGUGAUAGGACCUAAACGCCCUCAUGGGUCUCAGGCCGUGGGGUGGGGUGGGUGGGGGCAGGCAAAGGGCAGGGAAGCAAGAGGGGGCGGGGUGGAAAGAGAAGCCAGCGCUUGCCAGCAGGACCUGGGGAGAGCCGCAUCCAAUUGUGCAUGGCCCACGUGAUCCGCCCGAUGAAGGAUGUGCACGUGAGGCUGGGCAGGGACCCUGGAGACUUCCUUCCCAGGUCUUUGACCUCCGGGCCAGGGGGAUACUCCAGCAGAGCAGCUCCCACAGUCCGCUUCUCCAGCCCCCAGACCCUGAUCUGAGUCUGUGUCGGCUCUUUGGUUUCUUCCUCUGCCUGUCAGCCUCCCUUAGCGCCUCCGUGGGCACGCUGCUGAGUGUCUGACAGAGAAAAGGGAGGCUCCGUGCUUCCACCGCCUCAGCCUGCAUCUCUCUCGGCCAGGUGCGGCCAGAGGCUCGAUAAUCAAGUCAAGGGCCGCAUUGUCUGCGCCUCUCCCAAGGAAGACGAGUGACAUUUAACAGCCACCGGAUGUACACUUGAGUCCUGUCUCCAUUUCUGUGAAUUUAAGCGCCUGGGGGGUGGGGUGGGAUCCCCUUCUCCAGAGGGCUCUCCCUGCCCCAACUCCCCAGCGGUGUGUCUAUGUCCUUCCCACAGAGGGCAGUUUGUUUCAGGGAGCUACUUGACUGUGAGAUGUUUUCUAAGAUGUCGUUUCUAAAAAACAGAGAGAAAGAUGAACUUGGAGCAACCCUGUAUCUCCAGCCCAUAGAAUUCCUGGCCCACUUCAAGCCCAGACUGGGGGCAAAAAGCAGUCCAACAUUCCAUGAAAGGGACACCGGCUUUUAGAGAGAAAGAGCAAUCUCGAAACCAGUGCAUUCAGAGACGUGUAAAACAACCCCCCUUCCCCAGCCUUACUUCUUGCCCUGUGAUGCUCAGCUGAUACACACAGGUGGGAUCCUGCCCCUGUGGUCCAGCAUCCUGGCUGUCUGUGGAAGCUGCUCCUGAUUGGUCCAGAGCAUCUCAGGAUCAUGAGAAGAGCAGAGUUCCUGCAUCCAGGCUAAGCCCAGAUAUUAGCUCUGUGAUGAGGGCUGGUCAGGCCAUCUCCCUGAAAUUUUAGUUCCUUUACACAAUUUACUUCCUUGCCUUUAUAAUGUUUUCAUUAUGAAUGUUAUUGUAUAUAAUACUCCUAGAUGUUUCCCCCUUCUUUCCUCACCUGUUCUGUACAACCCAGAUCAAAUACCAGCACCUCUUCUACCCAGGGAUCUUCUUUUUAAAACCCCUUCCCACCCACGUUUUUUCCCUGAAUCUUUUAAGGUGUUUGUAACUAAUUACACACAAAGUUAUCUCUAGGGCAGGCUAGGGAAGGCCCUCUAUCCCCUCCAUAUGGUUAGCGCCCACUUCCAUGAGUCCAGUGAAUGAAUAAGUAAAUGGACUUGCUUUGAAGCAUUUUCUCUUCUGGGAAAUUUGCAGGAAUAAUUUAAAGUGUUAUUGUCUUUCAAUAAUAUACACAAUUUUAUCCUAUAUUUUCAUCACAAGGUCUUAAAGUCUUAUUCAGUUUUCCAGGCCAGGCCAAUGACGAGAUCAAAAGGAUAAAUAGUUACUUCCAAUUUAGGAAGAACUUAGGAGAACAUUUAGUUUCUAGGAUAUUCCUAGAAUCCAGCCUUUUUCAAAAGUAAAUACACUUCAGGUUGGAGCUAAGCCUUCAGACAUACUGUUUCUGCUUUCCCCUGGGAAGUUUGUUUCUUUAUAGCAUUCCAUAACAGGUAGACGGGUUGUGUUAUCUUCAGGAGGAAGGAUCCUAGCGCCUGAGAAGACUUUGGGCAGGAAAUGUCCCAGAUGGAGCAGUGUGUGUCUACCAUACAGACAUUUAUCCACACUCAAGUUAUCUGCAAUGCUGUAUUUUCUACAUCGCCCCAUACAUUUCAAACAAAGUGUAUUCAUUUCAAAAAACCACACACAUUUAGGAUGCAUUUCGUACUUGCGCUACAAUGAAGUGACUUAAUUGAUGCAUUGAUAAACUUAGGACCUGCGAUUUUCAUUUUUUUAUAAGUAGACAUUCCCAGCGAGCAAUCAGGACAUGGAGUCUUCACUUACACAAACACAGCUGUUGUUUUGAAAAAAUAAUAUGAUUAACAGAGAAUUUUCAGAAAGAACUCUGUGUCAAUAAAAAUAAAUGUUGAAUUGGUCUAGGAAAUGUACCAAACACACAAACACACACACGCACACACACACACACACAUGCACACACAUAGACAUUUCCACCUUUAUUUGCAACAAUCAAAAUUUUAAAAUAUUGUGCCAAAACUUCUUCCUUUCCUCCCAAAUCUCAAAUCUCUCUAAUAUAUAUACAGACACUUUGAAUAUGGCUUCCCUGAUGGCCCAGUUGAUAAAGAAUCUGCCUGCAAUGCAGGAGAUGUGGGUUCGAUCCCUGGGUUGGGAAGCUCCCUUGGAGGAGGAAAUGGCAACCCACUCCAGUAUUCUUGCCUGGGAAAUCCCAUGGACAGAGGGGCCUGGUGGGCUACAGUCCAUCAGGUUGAAAACAGUCAGAUACGACUUAGUGACUCAACGACCAACCACUUUGAACAUGGAAAGUUUGUUUUUACUCCUGAGUUUGAGCUGAUGCCAGAAUAACAGAAGGGAAGUGUUCUCAAGUCCACGCUGAGUCAGAUGCUGAGACCAAGAAGUGAGACUGUGGAGGGGGGAGCGGAGACUAUAAAGGACCAGUAUGGGGACUUGCCUGGUGGUCCUGGGGUUAGGACUCCGCACGUCUACUGCAGGGCCACCAGUCAGGGAAAGCCACAUGGCUUGGCCAAAAAAGAAGAAAAAAAAAUUUUAAAGGACCAGUACAACCUUGGGGAACAUCCACAGGUUGUAGGAGGAAAGACAAGUAGCAAAGGAGACUAGGAAGAAAUUCUAAUCAGCUGAGAGAAACAAUGGGAUCCAACAUUUUUAAAAAGAGGACGAGGUCGGCAUGGUCACGUGGUGGAGGCUGGAGACACCCAUCACAGGAACUGGACAUCAGAAGCUAAGACAAGGUGUAAUGAAUGUGGUGAAGACAGAAGCUAAAUUUGAUGACUUAAGCAACAGGCUAGAAGGUGAAAAAACGGGGGUUCAGGACUUCCUGGUGGUCCAGUGGUUAAGACCUCGUCUUCCAGCACAAGGGGGUGCAGGUCGGAUCCCUGGUCGGAGGGCUAAGAUCCCACACGCCCCGUGGCCGAAAAACCAAAACACAAAACAGAAUAUUGUAACAAAUUAAAUAAAGACUUUAAAAAUGAUCCCUGUAAAAAAAGAAAUCUUAAUAAAAGAGGGUUCAAACACCGACCACUAACACAAGCUUGACAGUGAAAUAAAAGACCAGCAGGAAGCCCCGUGGAGCCUGGCCAGCGAUGAGCACUGGAGGAGACUUCUGGAAGGGUAUCUAGAAAGACAAGGAAUCAAUGAGACAAGUGCGUGGAGAGCGAGAAGAAUGGAGCCCAGAAGAAGGAGAUGGAGACGGAGACGUGAUGAGACACAGUAAUAACGGAGGCAGCUCCCGCGCCAGUGUCUUCGGUGUAAAAGGAGGCGAAUUUCUGUGGAGAGCUGUGGAGUGAGGUAGUCUAGAAAGUUGAAGCAGAACACAGGUGCCAUGGAGGCCGAUACACUUCAAGGAAAACAGAUUAAGUUUUGCUAAAGGCCAGCAGGAACCCGGCUGGUUGAAGGGACCUACGGCAGAACUCUGUGAUUUCCCGGUGCAUCCAUACCUGGGGUCACAAGUGAAGGAUGCAGGGCUGGAGACAGACCCAGCCAGGGCGCAGGGAGAGAGGAGUCUGCAGGCCCGCCCAGCAUCAACCACCGUGGGGUCUCAGUGACCCCCGAAUCUACAGGGCACCGGUCAAAACUGACUGAAACUGAACGGAGCACGAAGAUGACUUCAAGUCAUAAGCUGUCCCCAGCUGCUUAACAUUACAGAAAAGAUAUUUCCUGUGGGAGCCUCUGAAUAUACACUUCUUCCUUG